rnacentral:lncRNA from 1 species
UCACUGACCAGAGCCACCACUCCUAGCAGCAGCAGCAGCCUGAUCAUCAGGAAGAGGCCGAGGACCCUUGGAAAGGUGAUGCCUUGUUUUGCCUUCCCUGAAAUGAAGUGAAGUGAAGCUCAUUCAGUCAUUUUAUUCCCAAACAACAGAAAAAGGUCCACUCAUUUGCCUCCUGCAUUUCUUUAUGCACAGCUUAAUUUGUUUUUCGUUUUGCAAAUUCAAAGGUGGCUGAGGGCUGUGAUGCUGUGGACCCGCCGGUUCCUAGGAAAUUGAGAUCAGGUACCACUAAUCGCUGCAUUUGGUGUCUCUUAAAGCUGGAACAGGGACAGCUUUGUCCCUUUCUCUUUCCAUCUUUACCUACUCAUUUGCAUAUACUAGCAUAGGACCAUCUCUGGCCAAUGGUUCUCAGAUUUGAUGAUGGCUAACCAAUGACAAUGCUGGUGUUUUUACAAAGUAAUAUAGUGAUAAUUUUUAAUAGCAUAUCUAACUUAGCUGGUCCCUGAAUGUACUAUUGAUGUGAGUGUUUCUACUUUUGGGACAUCCACAGUAUAGAUGAUUUCUUAAGCAACAAUUGGCAAAGCGCCAAGUUCACAUUUCAAUUCUGGGUCUUCUACUUUCAGCCAUAAUCAAGCGCGUCGGUCAGGCUGUUCCUUCGUCGCCGCGGCAUGCCAAGAAGAGGCGUCAUCUUUCAGCUAUCAGUGCUCAGAUUUUUCAGAUGGAUCGUGAAACAAGAACCGGCGAGACCAUGGUAUGUAUCUUCUGUCUGAAAGCUGCUCUUCAUUUUGUCAUAAUCCAAGACUUUGCAAGUGAACUAUGGGUUUCUCGCAGCCGUCAAAUUCUUUCACGAAGGAGGAGGAAGUGCUUGCUGAUACUUUGCUAGCACUAUCCCAAAUAGCCCCACCUUCUGAGCCAGCAGCCGACAUGGCGACGGAAAAAGAUGCCUCAAACACAAAUGUUGCCUCAACUUCUUGUUCAGAAGGUUGUUGAUCUUCACUAUUUCCUGCUAUUGUGUAUUUAAUACUAGUAACUGAGGUUGUACAGUUUGAGUAACAUGAUGCAUUGUAAUUCAGGUGUGAUUACUCCUACAGGAGCUAUCAAGGAGGAUGUCAGAAUAACUUUGUUGCCAACUGAAGCUAACAAAGUGGUUACGCAGUCUGCCUGCGCAGAUCAACAAGUGGAACCAACUGCUACUGCCAGUGUUCCACAACUAAAUCCUGCUUUAGGUGCUCCUCGCAUCAGCAUAAAUCCUGAUUUUCCCAAAGAUGGGAAGAUACAGGACCUUUCUUUGGGACUUUUCGCGAAUUCGCCAAGUCCACCUAAAGAAUCCUUGAAUAAAAGGUGGGGAAUUGCCUCAUGGUUGCCCUCGGUUCUCUUACCUUGUCAUAUUAUUGCUGGUGUUCUCAUGUUUACUUCUGUUUACAGCGCUUGGAAGAAGCCGAAGGCACAAUUUGAUGGUAGUCUAAGUCUAACUAACCAGACAAAGAAGGAGACUCCUCACUGGCUGGUAUUGGUUCUUCUCUCUUUGCUCUCUGAAAGUACUGUUGUAAUUUCCAUUUUGUCCGAAUGUUUCAUGAACUCCCCACAAUAUGUUUUUUAUACAGCUGAAUCGCAAUAAAUCUGGUUUUGUGGCACAUAAUAGAACAAAAGAUGAGAAUAGCAGUGCCAAAGGUAAAUCCUAUUUUCAGAAUGCCACGACAGUUAUUUUAUGACACGCGAUUCUACUAAAAUGUUGGCGAUGCUGCUAUUACUUGUUAGCUAAUCUGUUGUUACAUCAUCCCUAUCAGAAGUUAUGCCUGCAAUCCAGGCUCCGCUACCUUGUACCUCAACUGGGUCUUCGAAAAAGUAAGUUGCUGCCUAAAACUUGACACUGUUUCCUACACUCUUUUUAGCUGUUAAGAAGAGCGCUAAUGUCUGUUGUUUUACAGGCCCUCUUCAAGUACAUUGGGUGCAUGCACAAUAUCUGGCAAAGAAAUUACUACUGCCUGGGCAAUUGCAAAUAAUGACAAGGUCAAGUAUUUUAUCAACUCUAAUUUUAGUGAAACAAAUUGGCCCUGCUACUCAAUUAUCUUUUUUUUUUGCGACAUUGCUACUCUAUUAUCUAUGGGACACCUAAAAUCAUAGGCAAGUUGGUUGCUCAAGUUAUAUAUAUAUUCUUACUCCUGAAAAGAUUUACCUGUACAUAACUAAAUGCCAAGCUUGAACACUUUGGCUGUUGAGCUGACAAAUACAUCCUUUUUAUUCACAGCUUUCCCUUCCUGAAACUGGUGGCCCUGCAAAGACAUGGAAGAGAAGUGUUACCCAUGCCUAUGUGAGUCAUCUUAUCCAAAACCAUUUGGACAAGGAUAAGGCAUCGCAAAACCAAGUAAUCGCCCAGGAAAGAUCACGCAGCCGCAUUUCGAGCUCUCCAAGCGGCUCCACCUUGAAUAAGAAUGGUAUGCAUUUCGACGCAAGGAUCC